UACAGAGGUCUCGAGCGUUAGGCGGAAUCACUGGGCUUAAAGCGUGUGUAGGUGGAUCGUUAAGUACCUUGUGAAAUCCCACGGCUUAACCGUGGAACUGCUUGGUAUACUGGCGGUCUUGAGCCACUUAGGGGCUACCGGAACAAAUGGUGGAGCGGUGAAAUGCGCAGAUAUCAGAGGAACACCGGUGGCGAAGGCGGGUCUCUGGGCAGUAACUGACGCUGAGGAGCGAAAGCGUGGGGAGCGAACAGG
rnacentral:rRNA from 1 species